GUCGCUACGUGUGGCUGUCCUCGUGGUCUACGAGCUGCAGUCUUAAAAAUCAAGCAGUGCAUGGAGCCACACAAUGGAGCAAAGCCCGAAGCCCUUAGUGAAGAAGCAACACCGACCUCUUGCAAGAAGCCAUCCUUGGAGGAAGGAUUACCAGAAUGAGAUCUGGAUUUCUUGGCUGGAGCUUGCAGAACAAGUGGGUAUCACUAAGCUUCCAAAUCCAUGUUUGGACACCUUAAUGCAUGGCAUCCUGCACCAUCCUAAAGGAUUUGACAGCGCUUGUAGACAUCGCUGCCCACUCAUUAAAGCCCAUAAAUCAGACUAUUGCAGACUGGAAAGCACAGAGGUGCUGAAUUCUCCAGGCGAUUUCUUGGUUUUCAUUUUUCUUCUUUGGACAAUGCCUAACACUCUGUCAGCUCUGUGA
rnacentral:lncRNA from 1 species